UGGAAAUCAGAGAGACAGAACGAUAAGGCCACCCUGGAAAACCCAAGGCCUGCAGAGCACAGCUGACCCCCGCUGGGGUCUGUGCGCCAUGGGUGGGGCAGAUUCCCAAGGCUCAGAGCAACUGUGAUGAUGUGAAUGAAGAAAAUGGGGCUCUCUCUGUAGCCAGCAUACUGUAGAGGAGAGGGUUGGUCUACAUGCGGAAACAUGCCUUCCAUGGUCAGAAAUGUAUUGGGUACCUAAUUCUGCAGCUUGCUUUUUACUUUAACGUCAUAUUUAAACACUUUCAAGCAGUUGCCUGGCCUCUGUGAUUGCUGCAAUUCAAUGGCUGCAAAGGAUCCUGUUGAGUGUACUAUAAUAUAAUUAAAUACUCGUCUUUUA